GAAUAUUGGACAAUGGGGGGAACCCUGAUCCAGCCAUGCCGCGUGUGUGAAGAAGGCCUUUUGGUUGUAAAGCACUUUAAGCGAGGAGGAGGAGCUCUUGGUUAAUACCCAAGAUGCUUGGACGUUACUCGCAGAAUAAGCACCGGCUCACUCUGUGCCCGCAGCCGCGGUAAUACAGAGGGUGCAAGCGGUAAUCGGAGUUACUGGGGGUAAAGCCGUGGUAGGUGGGCAAUUAAGGUAAAUGGGAAAACCCCCGGGUUAACCUGGGAAAUGCAUUCGGAUCUGGUUGGCUAGGGUAUUGGAGAGGAUUGUAGGAAUCCAGGUGGAGCGGUGAAAAGCGUAGAGAUCUGGAAGAAUACCGGUGGCGAAGGCAACCAUCUUGCCUUAUACUGACACUGGGGUGCGAAAGCAUGGGGAGCGAACA
rnacentral:rRNA from 1 species